AUUGAACGCUGGCGGCAGGCCUAACACAUGCAAGUCGAACGAGUGGCGGACGGGUGAGUAAUGUCUGGGAAACUGCCCGAUGGAGGGGGAUAACUACUGGAAACGGUCGCUAAUACCGCAUACCAUCGGAUGUGCCCAGAUGGGAUUAGCUAGUAGGUGGGGUAACGGCUCACCUAGGCGACGAUCCCUAGCUGGUGUGAGAGGAUGGCCAGACACCCUGGAACUGAGAAACGGUCCAGAAUCCGACGGGAGGCAGCAGUGGGGAAGAUUGGACAAUGGGCGCAAGCCGGAUGCAGCCAUGCCGAGUGUAUGAAGAAGGCCUUCGGGUUGUAAAGUACUUUCAGCGAGGAGGCGUGACUCGCAGAAGAAGCACCGGCUAACUCCGUGCCAGCAGCCGCGGUAAUUC
rnacentral:rRNA from 1 species